rnacentral:rRNA from 1 species
AGAGUUUGAUCCUGGCUCAGAAUCAACGCUGGCGGCGUGCCUCAGACAUGCAAGUCGAACGAGAAAGUUUCCUUCGGGAGAUGAGUAAAGUGGCGCACGGGUGAGUAACACGUAGGUAAUCUACCUUCGGGUGGGGAAUAACCCAGGGAAACUUGGGCUAACACCGCAUAAUGCAGCGGCACCACAUGGUGACAGUUGUUAAAGCGGGGGAUUUUCGAACCUCGCGCCUGAAGAGGAGCCUGCGGCGGAUUAGCUUGUUGGUAAGGUAACGGCUUACCAAGGCGACGAUCCGUAGCCGGCCUGAGAGGGCGGUCGGCCACACUGACACUGACAUACGGGUCAGACUCCUACGGGAGGCAGCAGUCGGGAAUUUUGGGCAAUGGGCGAAAGCCUGACCCAGCAACGCCGCGUGAAGGAUGAAAUCCUUCGGGAUGUAAACUUCGCAAGAAUGGGAAGAAUUAGUAGGGGCUAAUACCCCCUAUGAUGACGGUACCAUUUGUAAGCUCCGGCUAACUCCGUGCCAGCAGCCGCGGUAAUACGGGGGGAGCAAGCGUUGUUCGGAUUUACUGGGCGUAAAGGGCGCGUAGGCGGUCAGCACAAGUCAGUUGUGAAAUCUCCGGGCUUAACUCGGAAAGGUCAACUGAUACUGUGCGACUAGAGUGCGGAAGGGGCAACUGGAAUUCUCGGUGUAGCGGUGAAAUGCGUAGAUAUCGAGAGGAACACCUGCGGCGAAGGCGGGUUGCUGGGCCGACACUGACGCUGAUGCGCGAAAGCCAGGGGAGCGAACGGGAUUAGAUACCCCGGUAGUCC